rnacentral:rRNA from 1 species
GGGCCUGCACAAGCGGUGGAGCAUGUGGUUUAAUUCGAUGCAACGCGAAGAACCUUACCAGGGCUUGACAUCCUGCGAACCUCUGGGAAACCGGAGGGUGCCUUCGGGAACGCAGUGACAGGUGGUGCAUGGCUGUCGUCAGCUCGUGUCGUGAGAUGUUGGGUUAAGUCCCGCAACGAGCGCAACCCACGUCUUUAGUUGCCAGCAUUUAGUUGGGCACUCUAGAGAGACCGCCGGUGACAAACCGGAGGAAGGUGUGGAUGACGUCAAGUCAUCAUGCCCCUUACGUCCUGGGCUACACACGUACUACAAUGCUACGGACAAAGAGCAGCUAACUCGCGAGAGUACGCAAAUCUCAUAAACCGUGGCUCAGUUCAGAUCGUAGGCUGCAACUCGCCUACGUGAAGGAGGAAUCGCUAGUAAUCGCAGGUC